rnacentral:rRNA from 1 species
CACUUUUAGAGAUAAUUAAAAGCACCACCUGCUCAAUGAAAUUAAAUAGCUGCAGAUUUUCUGUACUAAGGUAGCAUAAUCAAUUGCCUUCUAAAUCAAGGAUAGAAUGAAAGGUAAAACGAAUUUUAAACUUUCUUACAAUUAAAAAACUAACUUAAAAUACAAGUAAAAAUUCCUGUAAAUAAAGAAAGACGACAAGACCCUAUUGAACUUAACACAAGUUAGCUGGGGAAGCACACUAACAAAAUCUUACAGAAAUUUUAAAAAAGAACCUUUUUGAUAUUUGAACAAGUUACCAUAGGGAUAACAGCAUAAUUUAAUUUUAAAGCUCAUAUUUAAAAUUUAGCUUAUGACCUCGAUGUUGAAUUAAUUUCCUUAUAGACGCAAAACAUUAUAAAGGAAGACUGUUCGUCUUUUUAAUAAUU